rnacentral:rRNA from 1 species
AUUGAACGCUGGCGGUAUGCCUUACACAUGCAAGUCGAACGGCAGCGGGGGAGAAGCUUGCUUUUCCUGCCGGCGAGUGGCGAACGGGUGAGUAAUACAUCGGAACGUGCCCUGUAGUGGGGGAUAACUAGUCGAAAGAUUAGCUAAUACCGCAUACGACCUGAGGGUGAAAGUGGGGGACCGCAAGGCCUCAUGCUAUAGGAGCGGCCGCCGUCUGAUUAGCUAGUUGGUGGGGUAAAGACCUACCAAGGCGACGAUCAGUAGCUGGUCUGAGAGGACGAUCAGCCACACUGGGACUGAGACACGGCCCAGACUCCUACGGGAGGCAGCAGUGGGGAAUUUUGGACAAUGGGCGAAAGCCUGAUCCAGCAAUGCCGCGUGUGUGAAGAAGGCCUUCGGGUUGUAAAGCACUUUUGUCCGGAAAGAAAUGGCUCUGGUUAAUACCUGGGGUCGAUGACGGUACCGGAAGAAUAAGGACCGGCUAACUACGUGCCAGCAGCCGCCGUAACAC